GGCAGCAAAAUGGCAGCAUUCCUAUACACUAUGCUUUCAUAUUCCCUAGUAUUCCACGCCUCAACACCUUGAAAAUUAAGUAACUUAUUGUUUUUUAAUAUUUUAGCUUGGGACUCAUAAUCGCUUGGUCGCUGGUUCAAGUCCAGCAGGGGCCACCA
rnacentral:tRNA from 1 species